UAUAUUCCAUCAACUUUUAAACAUUUAUCACAAACAAUAGCAUAAGUUAAUUUCCACAAGAACUUUAUAAAUUUAUUCAAGAGUGCAAUUUGAUCGAGGUAACACCUACGAUCAAUUAACAAAAUGAAAAUUUUAAAAUUACUUAUAAUAACGUUAACUAUACUUAUAGGAGUAUUCAAACCUGGCGAUUGCGAUUUGCCAUGCCGAGCGCGCGAUGUAGGUAUAGAGGGCAGGUCGAUAGUGUGCGUUUGCGAUGCGAACUACUGUGAUACUAUUACAAAAGAAACACCAGCAAAAGGAACUUUUGUAGCAUACACAAGCAGUAAUGAUGGAAAAAGAUUCGAAAAAAGUUACGGAGUGGUGAAUGGUUU